rnacentral:rRNA from 1 species
GCGACAGGCUUAACACAUGCAAGUCGAGGGGCACCAUAGGUAGCAAUACCGGGUGGCGACCGGCGCACGGGUGAGUAACGCGUAUGCAACUUGCCUAUCAGAGGGGGAUAACCCGGCGAAAGUCGGACUAAUACCGCAUGAAGCAGGGAUCCCGCAUGGGAAUAUUUGCUAAAGAUUCAUCGCUGAUAGAUAGGCAUGCGUUCCAUUAGGCAGUUGGCGGGGUAACGGCCCACCAAACCGACGAUGGAUAGGGGUUCUGAGAGGAAGGUCCCCCACAUUGGUACUGAGACACGGACCAAACUCCUACGGGAGGCAGCAGUGAGGAAUAUUGGUCAAUGGCCGAGAGGCUGAACCAGCCAAGUCGCGUGAGGGAUGAAGGUUCUAUGGAUCGUAAACCUCUUUUAUAAGGGAAUAAAGUGCGGGACGUGUCCCGUUUUGUAUGUACCUUAUGAAUAAGGAUCGGCUAACUCCGUGCCAGCAGCCGCGGUAAUACGGAGGAUCCGAGCGUUAUCCGGAUUUAUUGGGUUUAAAGGGUGCGUAGGCGGCCUUUUAAGUCAGCGGUGAAAGUCUGUGGCUCAACCAUAGAAUUGCCGUUGAAACUGGGGGGCUUGAGUAUGUUUGAGGCAGGCGGAAUGCGUGGUGUAGCGGUGAAAUGCAUAGAUAUCACGCAGAACCCCGAUUGCGAAGGCAGCCUGCCAAGCCAUGACUGACGCUGAUGCACGAAAGCGUGGGGAUCAAACAGGAUUAGAUACCCUGGUAGUCCACGCAGUAAACGAUGAUCACUAGCUGUUUGCGAUACACUGUAAGCGGCACAGCGAAAGCGUUAAGUGAUCCACCUGGGGAGUACGCCGGCAACGGUGAAACUCAAAGGAAUUGACGGGGGCCCGCACAAGCGGAGGAACAUGUGGUUUAAUUCGAUGAUACGCGAGGAACCUUACCCGGGUUUGAACGCAUUCGGACCGAGGUGGAAACACCUUUUCUAGCAAUAGCCGUUUGCGAGGUGCUGCAUGGUUGUCGUCAGCUCGUGCCGUGAGGUGUCGGCUUAAGUGCCAUAACGAGCGCAACCCUUGCCACUAGUUACUAACAGGUAAAGCUGAGGACUCUGGUGGGACUGCCAGCGUAAGCUGCGAGGAAGGCGGGGAUGACGUCAAAUCAGCACGGCCCUUACAUCCGGGGCGACACACGUGUUACAAUGGCGUGGACAAAGGGAAGCCACCUGGCGACAGGGAGCGAAUCCCCAAACCACGUCUCAGUUCGGAUCGGAGUCUGCAACCCGACUCCGUGAAGCUGGAUUCGCUAGUAAUCGCGCAUCAGCCAUGGCGCGGUGAAUACGUUCCCGGGCCUUGUACACACCGCCCGUCAAGCCAUGGGAGCCGGGGGUACAUGAAGUCCGUAACCGCGAGGAUCGGCCUAGGGU